GGCUUGGUGCAAAUCAACCCCCAAACCCAGGAGGGUAAAAACCAAAGUCCCGGAAAAGGAAGGAAGGAAAGCAGGAAAGAAGGGAGGGAGGGAGGGCGGGGACACAAACUCCACGCAGAGGAGCGCCCGCGGAGCAGGCCUGAUGCGGAGCUGGGGCAGGAGCGCCCAGGCCCGGGGUCCACGCGGGUCACGCGCGCUCACCCGACUUGCUCGCCUUCAGGAGGGGGCGCUUCCCACACGGGCUGCGCCUCGCGGCACCACCCAAAUCGGUGCCACCUGAGAAAACCUAAUUGUCGGAUUCCGUUCAGGUGGAAACCGGCUGCUCAGGGCGCAGAGCGCAGGUCCUGGCUUCCUGCCCGCCGGGCGCGCUGGGGGCGGGGGCGGGGCCGGGUCCCCGCGGGGGCGCAAGGAGCUGCGGGGUGCAGGGAGGAGUUUCGGGGUGCAAGGAGGAGCUGCGGGGCGCAAGGAGCUGCAGGGUGCAAGGAGGAGCGGGGCGCGAGGAGCUGCGGGGCGCAAGGAGCUGCGGGGUGCAAGGAGCUGCGGGGCGCAAGGAGUUUCGGGGUGCGAGGAGCUGCAGGGCGCAAGGAGCUGCAGGGUGCAAGGAGGAGCGGGGCACAAGGAGCUGCGGGGUGCAAGGAGAAGUUUCCGGGUGGGAGGAGCUGCGGGGCGCAAGGAGCUGCGGGGUGCAAGGAGUUUCGGGGUGCAAGGAGCUGCGGGGCGCAAGGAGCUGCAGGGUGCAAGGAGUUUCGGGGCGCAAGGAGCUGCAGGGGCGCACGUCAGGGCAGCGCACAGCCCCCGCCCCCCGGGCCGCCACGGGAGGGCCCCCCUAGCACUUGUCUCCCCUCCUAGGUCACGCCCCCUGCUUGCUGCCUCUGGCUUUUUUUUUUUUUUUUCUUUUCCAAGAGGCUGAGUUCAUUCACCAAAUUUCUCCGGAAAGCACCCUUUUUAACCCCAGGGCCGAGGUCUGUCCCCCACCACCCCCAUUUCCGAAGCCUUUCAGGGGGAACUGGCCCCGGGGCGCGCCCCCCCUUUUCCGCGGGGGGGGUUAGCGGCUGCCCGAGGGGGCGCACGGGGUCAGGGCCCCCCCAAACCCAGGGGGGGGCCACAGCCCCAGAACACCCCGGAAGCUGUCGUUCCGGUGUCCAUGGGACGUCCUUCUUUUUAGGAGCAGUUCUUUAAAGGACCUUAAUAGGCGUUUCCCAGGGGGGUGGCCCCAGCCCGGCAGCCCG
rnacentral:lncRNA from 12 species